ACCUACGGGGGGCAGCAGUCGAGAAUCAUUCACAAUGGGGGGAACCCUGAUGCAGCGACGCCGCGUGGGCGAUGGAGUGCUUCGGCAUGUAAAGCCCUAUCAGCAGGGAAGAAAAUGACGGUACCUGACUAAGAAGCCCCGGCUAAAUACGUGCCAGCAGCCGCGGUAAUACGUAUGGGGCAAGCGUUAUCCGGAUUUACUGGGUGUAAAGGGAGCGUAGUCGGCCUGGCAAGCCUGAUGGGAAAUCCCGGGGCCCAACCCCGGGGCUGCAUUGGGAACUGCCAGGCUGGAGUGCCG
rnacentral:rRNA from 1 species